UUGGUGGAAACCAAAUAGAGGUAUAUCACUGUUAAUGAUAAAAUUGAGUUAUAACUCCCUCCAAG
rnacentral:tRNA from 1 species